CCUAGAACUCAUUCUGUAGACCAGGCUAGAGUUGAAUUUCCAGAGAUCCGCCUGCCUCUGCCUCCCAAGUGCUGGGAU
rnacentral:miRNA from 1 species